GGAUCACUCGUGGGCGGAAGACGGUGGGCAGAACGGCUUCUGUGCUCUUCCCAGGAUGGAAGCAGCCGCUGGCAGACAAAGAGGAUGGCAAUAAGAACACUCUGCACAACUCAGAAUAACAAGCAACAUUGAAUAGCAAGCAAGUCAGUGCAGAAAUCAGAAUAUUUUCCAUUUCCCUCAGAGCACCACACAAUUCUUCACCUUCCUCAGCAGGAGGUCCUUCUCAGCUGAGUGGGGGGCAGCCUGUCAGCCCUGAAGCCAUAGUGGAGCAUCUUCGGGGCCAUCUCAAUGAGGCCAGUCGGAGCUGUGGAAACGGGAAGGGAGAAUAGAGAUAGAGGGAAGUGUGGACUGGAGCCAAUUAGAGUUGGCACUUUGAC
rnacentral:lncRNA from 1 species